rnacentral:rRNA from 1 species
UACGUAGGUGGCUAGCGUUGUCCGGAUUUACUGGGCGUAAAGAGCGCGCAGGCGGUCGUUCAAGUCGCGUGUGAAAGCCCCCGGCUCAACUGGGGAGGGUCACGCGAUACUGAUCGACUCGAAGGCAGGAGAGGGUAGUGGAAUUCCCGGUGUAGUGGUGAAAUGCGUAGAUAUCGGGAGGAACACCAGUGGCGAAGGCGGCGACCUGGACAGAUAUUGACGCUGAGGUGCGAAAGCGUGGGGAGCAAACAGG